rnacentral:sRNA from 1 species
UCCUCAGAUGACGACACACAUUAUUACAAAGAGGAGGUUGGAGAGGCACCUGAUCCAGAAAUGUUUACACAAUCGAGGAAACGUAAACGAAGCAGAUCUGAUGGUCCCAAUGCUAAGCAGCCCAAACACAACAACAGCUCGAAGGCCACACACAAAACCAAGUCUACCUAUAAUAAGCAAUCAAAGUUUUCUCUAAAAAUUCAACAUAAUAGAAGAGAGAAAAAGAAAGGUUUUAGAGUUCAGAAGACGAAGAAAAUUAAUAAAAGAUAAUGAAAUGAA